AGUUCGUCUUCAGUCUUGAUAAUACACAGUGCCGAGGCAGUCGCAGAGCGUUGUCAUUGUCUGACAAGUGCCUUCGCUUUUUCUAUAUAUACCUAAGUAUAUACAUAUAUAAAGAACUGUUAUAUACAUAUGUUAGUAACGGCUGUUUGCGUGUUGCGUGCCAACAACAACAACUACAACAAAAGCUAUAAAAGAAAUUGCAAGUGGAGCAACGGGAACCGCAGGCGAACGGCAUCCCGUGUGUCUAUAUAAACGAUUAUUUAAUUUAUGGUUUGUGCUUAAAAAAUAUAUAUAUAAUAAAACCGAAGAAGCAGAAACAUUAGUUUAAUUUGCCAAGAAAAGUGCGUGCCGGUUGUAAACAGCUGCUGAAAUUUCUCAACGAAAACCGUUUCAUAAAAUGUUUAAAUCGAAGCCCGUUGCUUGCAUUUGACCCCACAGGCAAAGGUCAUAAUUAUAUCAAUAAUAAUAUAACUGUGCUCGACUCUUAUCAUUGCAAUAAAAGCCUAUAUACAUAUAAGCAUACACAUAUAGCAAAACAGAAUCAAUAUGCCCAGCAUGCGCUAUUUGACGGCAACCCAUUUGCAGGGCUUCGAGCGUUACAAGUACAAUAGCAUAGAUACCAGCCUUCUGAGCGUCUAUGUUAUGCAUCCCUUCUGGAAUGCUUGCGUAAAGUAUUUACCAAAAUGGUUGGCACCCAAUUUACUCACCUUCGUGGGUUUCCUCAUGACCGUGGUGAACUUCUUACUGCUAGCCUACUACGACUGGGACUUUAAGGCGGCCAAUGAUAAGUCGGUGGGCAAUACAGUGCCCGGCUGGGUGUGGACCGUGGCUGCCAUAAAUAUACUUAUCUACUACAAUUUGGAUGGCAUGGAUGGCAAACAGGCUCGUCGCACAGGGACGAGUGGUCCGCUCGGAGAGCUCUUCGAUCAUGGCUUGGACUCCUAUUCGGCGGCACUUAUACCAAUCUAUAUAUUUUCCCUAUUUGGCACCGAAGAUCUGCCGCCCAUACGCAUGUAUUUUGUUAUAUGGAACGUAUUUCUCAAUUUCUAUUUCACACAUGUAGAAAAAUAUAAUACGGGUGUUAUGUUUUUGCCAUGGGGCUACGACUUUACCAUGUGGGGCGUCAGCUUAAUGCUGUUCGUGGCCACGAUCGUGGGUCCUGAAAUCUAUCGCUCGAGUUUCUACGGCAUUACGGUGGCAAAUGUAUUCGAGGUUGGCCUAAUUGGCUCCGGCAUUCUGUCCAGCCACCCCAUUAUUAUACGGAAUAUAUAUCUCUCUUAUAAGAAUAAGACGGGCAAAAUGCGUCCCAUGAUGGAGAUGUUGCGCCCAUUUUUCGCCUUCCUCUGGUUGUUUGUGAUAACGCUCGUUUGGUCAUUUUUCUCACGCAAUAAUGUUAUUAACCUGGAACCGCGCAUACUGUGGAUACUCUAUGGAACAAUCUUUUCCAAUAUUGCAUGCCGCCUGAUCGUGGCCCAAAUGUCGGAUACGCGUUGCGAUAGCUUCAAUAUACUUAUGUGGCCAUUGGUGGCAACCGUGGGCGUCUGCUGCUUUCCCUGGUAUGAGGAGGUGCUGGGCACGGAUCUGACAGCGCAGGGUGAGCGCUGGCUCGUUCAUGGCUUAACAAUAUUUGUUACAUUGGCCCAUUGGCAUUAUGGCUAUGGUGUGGUCUCGGAAAUGUGUGACCACUUCAAGAUUCGUUGCUUCAAAGUAAGAAAAUAUGACAGCAAUUUCGUUGAACAUACAUUCCAGAAGAAUAACAAAUUCCUGAAAAGUCAUUGAAACUAAUUACAUAACUAACUUCAACAAAGAACAAAUUUCAACAAAAAGAUUAAGCAACCGAUUGGUUGCAAAUGGUUGGCCAUUUUGUAUGUGAUAUAAAUGUUGGGUGUUACAAAAUUCAAUUUCGCCUCGCUCUGGUCUAAGUUUAAGUGAUCCAUAAACUGUCAGUAUAUAAGCUCUCUAUCUCUCUCAUGCGCCGCAUCAAUGUAAUGAUCAAAAAGACACCCGUCAAUGACGCAGCGGAACUCAAUGAAGUCGUCGAUGCCGCAAAACCCACGGAAGUAGUCGAAGAAGUGUAAUUCAUAAGUGAUUUGGAUUCGUGUCGUGCCCAAACGUCUUUUCUAAGUAAAUUUAUGUAAAAUU